GUAAGGCAUCGGGUUUUGUCCCGUUACUUGGAGGUUCGAAUCCUUCCGUCCCAGA
rnacentral:tRNA from 1 species